rnacentral:lncRNA from 1 species
UAGUAGUAGUAGUGGUAAUAGUAGUAGUAGCAAUAAUAAAAAUUGUAGCAGUAGUAGUAGUAGUAGCAGCAAUAGAAGUAACAGUAGCAGUAAAAGUAGCAGAAGUAUUAGUAGUAGUAGUAGCAACAUUAGUAGUAGUAGUAGUAGUAUUAGAAACAGCAGUAGUAGUAGUACCUAUAAAUACCCAUGUGCUUGAAUGCUUUUAGCAUCAACCACAAAUCAAAGCUUGAGUUUCUCAAUUCGUCUCUCUUACUUCUUCCUCUCAUAUUUUAACAAAUUAUUAU